CGGGAGGCAGCAGUGAGGAAUAUUGGACAAUGGAGGCAACUCUGAUCCAGCCAUGCCGCGUGCAGGAAGACUGCCCUAUGGGUUGUAACUGCUUUUAUAGAGGAAGAAACCUCCCUUCGUGAAGGGAAUUGACGGUACUCUACGAAUAAGGAUCGGCUAACUCCGUGCCAGCAGCCGCGGUAAUACGGAGGAUCCAAGCGUUAUCCGGAAUCAUUGGGUUUAAAGGGUCCGUAGGCGGACUAAUAAGUCAGUGGUGAAAGUCUGCAGCUCAACUGUAGAAUUGCCAUUGAUACUGUUAGUCUUGAGUCAUUAUGAAGUGGUUAGAAUGAGUGGUGUAGCGGUGAAAUGCAUAGAUAUCACUCAGAAUACCGAUUGCGAAGGCAGAUCACUAAUAAUGUACUGACGCUGAUGGACGAAAGCGUAGGUAGCGAACAGGAUUAGAUACCCUGGUAGUCUACGCCGUAAACGAUGGUUACUAGCUGUUUGGUCGAUUGAGACUGAGUGGCUAAGCGAAAGUGAUAAGUAACCCACCUGGGGAGUACGUUCGCAAGAAUGAAACUCAAAGGAAUUGACGGGGGCCCGCACAAGCGGUGGAGCAUGUGGUUUAAUUCGAUGAUACGCGAGGAACCUUACCAGGGCUUAAAUGUAGUCUGACAGAUUUGGAAACAGAUUUUUCUUCGGACAGAUUACAAGGUGCUGCAUGGUUGUCGUCAGCUCGUGCCGUGAGGUGUCAGGUUAAGUCCUAUAACGAGCGCAACCCCUGUGGUUAGUUGCCAGCGAGUCAAGUCGGGAACUCUAGCCAGACUGCCGGUGCAAACCGUGAGGAAGGUGGGGAUGACGUCAAAUCAUCACGGCCCUUACGUCCUGGGCCACACACGUGCUACAAUGGUAGGGACAGAGAGCAGCCACUUCGCGAGAAGGAGCGAAUCUUCAAACCCUAUCACAGUUCGGAUCGCAGUCUGCAACUCGACUGCGUGAAGCUGGAAUCGCUAGUAAUCGGAUAUCAGCCAUGAUCCGGUGAAUACGUUCCCGGGCCUUGUACACACCGCCCGUCAAGCCAUGGAAGCUGGGGGUACC
rnacentral:rRNA from 1 species